rnacentral:lncRNA from 11 species
UUUACUUUCAAAAAAUUCUGAUUGAUUUGCCAAGGGAGAACUAGACUUUGGAUUGCAUGUGAUUUGUUCCUCUCAUCGAGAAGUGGAGGUUGCCCUGAAACAACCUCAUCAACCAGCAGAUUCUCUAUCAUAAUAAUACAGCUUAUUGUCAGGUCUUGUGCAGAGAAGCAUGAAGGACAAGCACUAGAAUUGUCUCUACAGCAGAAUACCAGACAUGAAACAUUAGAAUUGCUAGUACUCAGGCACCAGCUGAAGCCUCAAGGAAAUGUUAUUCCAGAUGUAGAGACAAAUUGCAGGGACAGCGAGGGCAGGAGGAGGAAAGGACAAGCUCAAGAUGAAUGGCAAACAAAUUGAUGACCCACAAGCUGCUUUCUUCCUGUUCCAUUAGUCACUUGCUGAGAUUCAUCUGCAGAGUCCUAUAAUUAAGCCAAUGCCUAACUGGAGGACAUGAAGUGUUGGCUUCAGAAAGUUUUCACACUGGAUAAAAUACAUCAAGAUGUGUAAAUAAAAUAUGGC